UACGAAGGGAGCGAGCGUUGUUCGGAAUCACUGGGCUUAAAGCGUGCGUAGGUGGAUUGGUAAGUAAGGAGUGAAAUCCCAGGGCUUAACCCUGGAACUGCUCUUUAGACUGCCUGUCUGGAAUUCGGAAGAGGUUGGUGGAACUCCCAGUGUAGCGGUGGAAUGCGUAGAGAUCGGGAAGAACAUCGGUGGCGAAGGCGGCCUGCUGGGCUCUUGCUGACACUGAUGCGCGACAGCGUGGGGAGCAAACAGG
rnacentral:rRNA from 1 species